UGAGUCGGCCGGGCGGCCGCGGCAUCCCUCGAGGGUGUCGAGGAAAGUCCGGACUCCACAGAGCGACGGUGGUGGCCAACAGCCACCCACGGCGACGUGCGGGACAGUGCCACAGAGAACAGACCGCCAGCGGCCACCCUCGGGUGGUGCGGGUAAGGGUGAAACGGUGAGGUAAGAGCUCACCAGCACGGCGGGUGACCGUCGUGGCUCGGUAAACCCCACCGGGAGCAAGACCAAGUAGGCCCCGUCCGCGGGGCCGUGCCGCAGGGCUGCUCGUCCUCAGCGGCAGGUAGGUCGCACCGAGGUGUCCAGCAAUGGGCAUCCCAGAUGGAUGGCCGCCCCUGCUCCGGCAGGACAGAAUCCGGCUUACAGGCCGACUCAUUCG
rnacentral:RNase_P_RNA from 1 species